UGAGCCAAAUCUGAGGUUGAAGGACGU
rnacentral:piRNA from 1 species